rnacentral:rRNA from 1 species
UGUUAGGUCAGAUGUGAAAGCCCGGGGCUCAACCUCGGAACCGCAUUUGAAACUGGCAGGCUAGAGUCUUGUAGAGGGGGGUAGAAUUUCAGGUGUAGCGGUGAAAUGCGUAGAGAUCUGAAGGAAUACCAGUGGCGAAGGCGGCCCCCUGGACAAAGACUGACGCUCAGAUGCGAAAGCGUGGGUAGCAAACAGGAUUAGAUACCCUGGUAGUCCACGCCGUAAACGCUGUCUACUUGGAGGUUGAGGUUUAAGACUUUGGCUUUCGGCGCUAACGCAUUAAGUAGACCGCCUGGGGAGUACGGCCGCAAGGUUAAAACUCAAAUGAAUUGACGGGGGCCCGCACAAGCGGUGGAGCAUGUGGUUUAAUUCGAUGCAACGCGAAGAACCUUACCUACUCUUGACAUCCAGAGAACUUUCCAGAGAUGGAUUGGUGCCUUCGGGAACUCUGAGACAGGUGCUGCAUGGCUGUCGUCAGCUCGUGUUGUGAAAUGUUGGGUUAAGUCCCGCAACGAGCGCAACCCUUAUCCUUGUUUGCCAGCACGUAAAGGUGGGAACUCCAGGGAGACUGCCGGUGAUAAACCGGAGGAAGGUGGGGACGACGUCAAGUCAUCAUGGCCCUUACGAGUAGGGCUACACACGUGCUACAAUGGCAGAUACAGAGGGCAGCGAAGCUGCGAAGUGGAGCGAAUCCCUUAAAGUCUGUCGUAGUCCGGAUUGGAGUCUGCAACUCGACUCCAUGAAGUCGGAAUCGCUAG